UACGUAGGGUGCGAGCGUUAAUCGGAAUUACUGGGCGUAAAGCGUGCGCAGGCGGUUCGUUGUGUCGGCGGUGAAAGCCCCGGGCUUAACCUGGGAAUGGCCGUUGAAACUGGCGAACUGGAGUAUGGCAGAGGGGGGUAGAAUUCCACGUGUAGCAGUGAAAUGCGUAGAGAUGUGGAGGAAUACCGAUGGCGAAGGCAGCCCCCUGGGCCAAUACUGACGCUCAUGCACGAAAGCGUGGGGAGCAAACAGG
rnacentral:rRNA from 1 species